CAAACCGGCAGGAAUUAAAUAUGCAUUCAAUGAAUCCUGCUGUGAAGUGUUUGUUAGCACGCCAACAUCCCAUGGCCACAUCAGCCUGUGUCUCAGGACCCAGCAGUGGGUAGCUGUCACGUAUUUCCAUUAAAAGAGAUCAUGCAGAGAGUUGCUGUCACACUUGCGUGACGUUCUAGCCUGGGCAGAGGACCCUCCUCACCGUGAAGGAGAGCACUGUUCCUGCUGGUGGAAGCUUUCUUUCAUGCAGCAUUCCAUAAGGCAUUCUGAAACCUUCAGAGUUGUUGCCAACUGCAUCAGCCGGAGGAAGUCCAG
rnacentral:lncRNA from 1 species